rnacentral:rRNA from 1 species
GGGAGCCGAAGGGAAACCGAGUCUUAACUGGGCGUUAAGUUGCAGGGUAUAGACCCGAAACCCGGUGAUCUAGCCAUGGGCAGGUUGAAGGUUGGGUAACACUAACUGGAGGACCGAACCGACUAAUGUUGAAAAAUUAGCGGAUGACUUGUGGCUGGGGGUGAAAGGCCAAUCAAACCGGGAGAUAGCUGGUUCUCCCCGAAAGCUAUUUAGGUAGCGCCUCGUGAAUUCAUCUCCGGGGGUAGAGCACUGUUUCGGCAAGGGGGUCAUCCCGACUUACCAACCCGAUGCAAACUGCGAAUACCGGAGAAUGUUAUCACGGGAGACACACGGCGGGUGCUAACGUCCGUCGUGAAGAGGGAAACAACCCAGACCGCCAGCUAAGGUCCCAAAGUCAUGGUUAAGUGGGAAACGAUGUGGGAAGGCCCAGACAGCCAGGAUGUUGGCUUAGAAGCAGCCAUCAUUUAAAGAAAGCGUAAUAGCUCACUGGUCGAGUCGGCCUGCGCGGAAGAUGUAACGGGGCUAAACCAUGCACCGAAGCUGCGGCAGCGACGCUUAUGCGUUGUUGGGUAGGGGAGCGUUCUGUAAGCCUGUGAAGGUGUACUGUGAGGUAUGCUGGAGGUAUCAGAAGUGCGAAUGCUGACAUAAGUAACGAUAAAGCGGGUGAAAAGCCCGCUCGCCGGAAGACCAAGGGUUCCUGUCCAACGUUAAUCGGGGCAGGGUGAGUCGACCCCUAAGGCGAGGCCGAAAGGCGUAGUCGAUGGGAAACAGGUUAAUAUUCCUGUACUUGGUGUUACUGCGAAGGGGGGACGGAGAAGGCUAUGUUGGCCGGGCGACGGUUGUCCCGGUUUAAGCGUGUAGGCUGGUUUUCCAGGCAAAUCCGGAAAAUCAAGGCUGAGGCGUGAUGACGAGGCACUACGGUGCUGAAGCAACAAAUGCCCUGCUUCCAGGAAAAGCCUCUAAGCAUCAGGUAACAUCAAAUCGUACCCCAAACCGACACAGGUGGUCAGGUAGAGAAUACCAAGGCGCUUGAGAGAACUCGGGUGAAGGAACUAGGCAAAAUGGUGCCGUAACUUCGGGAGAAGG